UGUUCAGCUUCAGGUGCUAUGGAGCCUUAGAGAGAAAGACAUUCAAGGACUUUAUAGUUUAAUGGGGGAGAAGGAGAAAACACAAAUGUGUACAUGUAAGCAAGCAGGGCUGGAGGUGUAUAAACAUACACACAGUCCUGACCAUCUGUGCAGAGAUAGAGGCAGAAAUUGACUGCAAGCAUAAAGGUGGGUGGAAGGAGGCAAGCGCCUGGAAUGAGCUCCUUCUGUGGAAAUCUAUCCAGGCCCUAAAGGAAUGGGGGAGGCUAGGCAAGUCAAGGCAUUGUCUACAGAAUGCUGAGCAAAACAUAGAUGUGAGGUGAUCAGCUGGAAAAAAGCAGAGACACAUUGGAAAGUCACACGAAGUGGACAUGGAAAAGGAAGGAAGAGCUAGAUUAAGCUAUACUUCCAGCAUUGGAGCCAGGUGGGAAAGCAAAGCAAAAGCAAAGCAAAACAGCAACCAAAACCCACAAAGUGGUUGGUUAACUGUUGGUAAAACAGCUGAGCUGCAAAGAAGGAGGACCUGCAGACCAGAGCUGACAUGA
rnacentral:lncRNA from 1 species